CAAAAAGAUUAAAUCCCUCUAAAAGGUAAGAUUGGCUUUCAGUGCCCAAACCUUUUUUUGCAUGAAAACAUUGACAUCAGUGGUGCAUUUAGAUGGGAAUGUAGUGCCAGACUCUGAAUACAUUUCAACAUAUUCUUUAUGUGAGCAUUUUGGGGGGUUUAUUUUAAUGAUAACUUCAAAUAUAUUCUGGAUUCUGUAUAAAAAUGUGCAUCUUUGUUUUGUUUGUUUCUGUUUCAUUAGUCACAUCCUGUUCCUCCUCACAGUGCACCAUGGUUACUGCUGCCUCUUCAUGGUGCUGAAAUGGACAGCUCCCCUUGCUGCAUCCAGGAGCACGGCAACUGUCUCCCUCUUGUGAUAGGCUGCUCUGGAGCCACAUGGUAUUUUCAUGGGGAUUGCCAGGGAUGUGGACUCAGAUGC